UGGGCGCAGCCUGAUGCAGCCAUGCCGCGUGUAUGAAGAAGGCCUUCGGGUUGUAAAGUACUUUCAGCAGUGAGGAAGGUGGAUGCGUUAAUAGCGUAUUCAUUUGACGUUAGCUGCAGAAGAAGCACCGGCUAACUCCGUGCCAGCAGCCGCGGUAAUACGGAGGGUGCGAGCGUUAAUCGGAAUUACUGGGCGUAAAGCGCAUGCAGGUGGUUUGUUAAGUCAGAUGUGAAAGCCCGGGGCUCAACCUCGGAAUUGCAUUUGAAACUGGCAGACUAGAGUACUGUAGAGGGGGGUAGAAUUUCAGGUGUAGCGGUGAAAUGCGUAGAGAUCUGAAGGAAUACCGGUGGCGAAGGCGGCCCCCUGGACAGAUACUGACACUCAGAUGCGAAAGCGUGGGGAGCAAACAGGAUUAGAUACCCUGGUAGUCCACGCCGUAAACGAUGUCUACUUGGAGGUUGUGGCCUUGAGCCGUGGCUUUCGGAGCUAACGCGUUAAGUAGACCGCCUGGGGAGUACGGUCGCAAGAUUAAAACUCAAAUGAAUUGACGGGGGCCCGCACAAGCGGUGGAGCAUGUGGUUUAAUUCGAUGCAACGCGAAGAACCUUACCUACUCUUGACAUCCAGAGAAGCCAGCAGAGAUGCAGGUGUGCCUUCGGGAGCUCUGAGACAGGUGCUGCAUGGCUGUCGUCAGCUCGUGUUGUGAAAUGUUGGGUUAAGUCCCGCAACGAGCGCAACCCUUAUCCUUGUUUGCCAGCACUUCGGGUGGGAACUCCAGGAGACUGCCGGUGAUAAACCGGAGGAAGGGGGGGACGACGUCAAGUCAUCAUGGCCCUUA
rnacentral:rRNA from 1 species